GACGUAGGGGGCCAGCGUUGUUCGGAAUUACUGGGCGUAAAGCGUGCGCAGGCGGUUUUGUAAGCCAGAUGUGAAAGCCCCGGGCUUAACCUGGGAAUGGCAUUUGGGACUGCAAGGCUUGAGUGCGGCAGAGGAGACUGGAAUUCCCGGUGUAGCAGUGAAAUGCGUAGAUAUCGGGAGGAACACCAGUGGCGAAGGCGGCGAUCUGGGCUGAUACUGACGCUGAGGUGCGAAAGCGUGGGGAGCAAACAGG
rnacentral:rRNA from 1 species